CAUGUUGCCAUGAUGUAAUGGACUGAACCUCUGAAACUGAUGGACUUCAUAGACGGACUUUGUAGACGACAAUGUCGAAUCGCGGUGUCAGAGGCUGAACAGCUGGAUCCUGUGUGGAAAAUGCCCAGCCUCUGCUCUGAGAGCCCUGUGCGCCAGAGUGGAAGAGACCCUGACUGAAGAUAUACCCACAGGACAUGGCACCCCAGUUCAGAAGAAUCAGGGGAGACACUACAUCAAGCAAGAAUCCAUACAGCGAAAGACCAACGCUGCCCGCCAACACUCAGGUGUGGGUGUGGAAAGCCUCACAGAACAGAAGAGCAGGUCCUCGGAGCUGGGUAACAAGUCACAGGACACAACCACAGGGAGAUGCGGUGAUCAAUGUCAGAGGGACCCGUUGUGCAGCAAAGCAAACUCGUGCCACUGAUAAAAGCAGCCAGUUUCAAAACCAUGCAGCACGGACAUUAAGUGGUUUAAUCAGAAAAAGCAGAAACUGUAACACUGAGCUAGAAGUGUUCCUUAAUGAGCUAGAAGUGCCCACCACUAUGCACACAUACUUCAAAAUGUCCUUCUGUAGAAAAUUGAAAAACACAAAGGUCACCUGACAAUCAAAAAAAGACGGAAGGGAACAUUAGUCAAGGGCUGCCACAAUGACUCCACGGGUAAAAGCAUUUAGUGUGCAGCCCUCAGACCUGAGGUUGAUCCUGAAGCCCAUGUGUACUGGCUGGUUUUGUGUCAACUUGACACAGGCUGGAGUUAU